AUUGAACGCUGGCGGCAUGCUUUACACAUGCAAGUCGAACGGUAACAGGCCUUCGGGUGCUGCCGAGUGGCGUACGGGUGAGUAAUGCAUCGUAACGUACCCAGUGACGGGGGAUAACGCAGCCAAAUCUGUGCUAAUACCGCAGGUGCACUGAGGAUGAAAGCGUGGGACCGAGCAGCAAUGUUUGGCCUCGCGCCUUUGUAGCGGCCGAGGUCGGAUUAGCUAGUUGGCGGGGUAAAGGCCUACCAAGGCGACGAUCCGUAGCUGGUCUGAGAGGACGAACAGACACCGUGGCACUGAGGAACGGCCCCGACUCCGAGGGGAGGCAGCAGUGGGGAAUUUUAGACGAUGGGGGAGAGGCUGAUCCAGCAAUGCCGCGGGCGGGAAGAAGGACUUCGGGUUGUAAACCGCUUUUGGCAGGAGCGAAACGGUGUCCGCUAAUACCGGGCGAUAAUGACGGUACCUGCAGAAUAAGCACCGGCUAACUACGUG
rnacentral:rRNA from 1 species